GUGGCUGAAGUGCUCCAAAGGGAAGAGUUUGAAGAUGGGAAUCACCUCCGGGACUCUCCAUACCCGUGAAGCUGCCAGGGGGGAGAGGAGCUCCAGCUCCAGGGAUAUCCAAGGCACUGUGCAAGCAGGGAGCAUCCCAGACCCGUGGAGGAGCUCAGCAGGAGAAGAAUCAGUGGGGGAAAAUAGUCCUAAUGCUGUGUUUGCUGGUGGGUCAGGCAGUUUGAACAGAGGUCUGUGGUGCUCCAGCUCGUUGGGAACUUCUGUGCUCAGGCCAGGAGGAUGCUACAGAUGGAGCUGAUCUGUGAAUUUCAAAUCUGUGCCUCCACCAGUGUUGACACGGUGCAAUGAUGCAGCCGAGCUCUCAGAUGUCUGGCUCGAAGAGUUGUGAAAUGAUCAAGCAGACAAACCCAACCAUUUCAGCCUUGUCAAUCUAGUUCUCAGUGGACAGAUGCCCUGGUGCUGGAAAAGCAGCAUGCCCUGCAACACCUCUUGGCAGUGUGGAAAAAGAGCCAGAGAUGUCCCAGACACGAAGUACGACCGGAUUCUCAGCUCAAAAAAUCAGGUUUGUGGCCCCACUGGAGCUCCUGGGUGAGGCUGUGUGGGGACACGUGUGGGACCUCUGGUUUGGGCAUGAGGAAGGGAUUUCUGGUCUCUCAGAUUGUCCAUCUGAUCUGCUUCUGGAGCAAGUUGUCUUGGAUUAAUGGGUGAUGAUCCAGAUUUGUGCAUUGAGGGCUUUGGAGUGCACCUGGUUCAUUGCUGGAGUUUGUGGAUUGCAUAAUUAAUUAAUUAAAUGGUAUAAUUUAAAUAUUUUCUUGGGUGCUUAUCCAGCAGGAAUUGACUAAACUGUCUGAGGAAACAGGAGGUUUUGGGUUUCUGUUGCCACACCAGCAGGGACAGCCCUGUCCUGACUGUCUGUGGUCAUGUCCCCUUGAAGGCCAUCACUGGAAGUCCCAUCCCAGGUGUCCUCUCAGGCACAGCAGGGGAGGGGGAUGAGGCUUCAGUUUGCCCUGUCCACGCAGCCCCUGGGCAUGUCUUGGUAGGCACAGUUCCAACAAAGCCCAGCCUGGUGCAGCUGAACCCACCCCGGUGCACAAAACCUGGAAAUCUUGCAAGGUGGGUUUAAAACCCUGCAGAACCCACUGAGUUCAUGGUACAGAAACCUGGCAGUGACUGGGAUGGGCAGGGAACUCUUCUGGUACAGAGGAGGUUUUCUUUUUGGCUAACGAGUUGUUUUUAAUGUCACACGUGGCAUCACAAGAUCUUGCAGCAUUGGGGCAUUUUUAAUGAAUUCCUAUCACUUGCAUAUUAGCAGGAAUAUUUCCACUGCAGCAAACCCCAUAAACAGUUCCCACACUGGGCUGUGUUAUACUGCCACCAGAAUUGGUUCUUCUGAUGGUUCAUUUCUUUUAUGCUGAGAAUUCAGGACCAAUUCAGCUUGGUUUUAUGCAUCAUUAGAGAUUUACAAUUACUUUGCUAUAGUUUCUUUCUGGAAGCCUAUCUCUCAUGGUUAAUGCUAUGGGAGUCCUGUUGUGUAGAGACUGGUAUGAGCCACCUUAUAGCAAUAAAGCGUUUGAGAAGGAUUUAGAAUUAUGAGGGGCUAAAUUCUCCGUGCACAGACUGUAAUGCUGUUAUCCCUUGCUGAGCUUGGGUUGAAACCUUUUUUUUUUUUUUCUCUCCCCAAAUUGGAAAAAAAAAAAAAAGUGCUCUUUCUUCAAGAGGUUUUGAAUCAUUUACGUGUAAUUUUUUUGUUGCGCCGCUGCAGUCGGAAAUGAGGAAUUGUGUGAAAUUCCAUUUGGAUUUCAUGAUGCUUAAAAUACAUUUAGGUUGUAUUAGUAUCUAACGAAAAGAAGGCCUCCUCAUUUUUUUUAGAUCUCGCUUUUAAAAAGUCUAAUCAUUAUUUGGGACUUUAUUUGGAUUUUUUUAAUAUUUUGGGGGGGUUGUUGAAGGCAAUAACUUCACAAGCUUUGCCCUUGCACAAUAAGCAGUGGCUCUGUGGGUGUUAUAAUCCGCAUAAUUCACAUUUUACAUAAAUACAGUACUGCACUGAAACAAACAUGAUAUGCAGUGAAUAAUAUGGGCCUGAUCUAAAGGCCAUUAAAAUCAAUGAAAAGAUUUCAAAUUAACUUUUAUAGCCUUUAGAUCAGGCUCUAAAUGGGCAAAUUACAGUUAUGGAGUUUCCCAUUUACAUACCUGUGUGCUGCAUUUAAUGUAUUUUAUGGAAUUGAAAUUACUUGGUCCUCUUUUUCAUGCUUUUUUAGGCUAAGAAUUUGCCAAGGGCAUCAACAGCAGUUUUCCCAGGCUUCAGCACAAGGAUUAUAUAGUCAAUCCACAAAUGACUCCAAUCUUUGAAGAAAGGGACAUGGUUAUCAGAGAGGCUUUGACGACAGCAAGGACUGGAGCACAAUCUACCUUUUUCCAUCAGAGAUUCCCAUUCCCUCUCAUUAACAUACUCAGGACAUCAGCACAGCCAUCAGUCCCAGGGGAAUCACCUCAAACUUCUCAGGGAAUAUGCACAAGACCUGGCCCUGUGUUAUUUCAAACAGAUCAAACCAGAUGUGCCUUGUGAAAGGUUUGGAGAAAGGCUGGGGCACAGCAGCAUUAGGGGAGGGAUUCACAGGUUGCAGGGAAUUUUCAAAUCCAUUGUUAUAUCUUGGUAAUCUUUCUUAUUUCCCAGGGUUUUUCAAUCCCAAAGAGGAUGCAGAGCUGCUCUGUGAUAUCUGCUGCUGCUGUAAGUGUGAAAGGAGGUGCCUCUACCUGCUCCUUCCCAGCGCCCUGUGAUGAAAAAUGCCUUUGGAGGAACACUGGAAACAAGCCAUCAAAAUAUCUGAUUAAACCUCUUAGGAAACUCUCACUAAUCACCUUCUCUGCUCUUGAUGGAGUGUAUUUAUGCAUUAUAAAUAUACUUACUAUGUGUGUGUGCUCCAUAAAUCACAUCCAGCACUUGUAUAUGAUGUAUAAGCACAUUCUAUAGAACACACACAAAUACAGAUGCCAAACUCCCACAGAGUUCAUCACUGGAAAAAUGUUUGAAGGAUCUGAUCCUUAAUAUUUAAUGAGCAAGAUGCUAUUUCCUUCCUCAGCUUUUAUCUCUGGUUUGGCAUAGUCAUUAAAUUCGUUGUUUCCUUGCAGGAUUAUAUAAUUUAUGACCUAAUUUUAGACUUUUGCGUAACCGCGUUGAAACACUCGUGGCGGAUCCGGAUUUCUCUGCACGGAGCGUUCCAGCAUCAGACACCAGCUCAAACAUGACUCCUGUGAGCUGCCCAUCAGCAAGGAGUUAGAGGCAUUAAAGGCAAACAGCCCAACAAUAUUCAGACAGCAUUACAGGAUUAGAUGGUGGGGGUUUUUUCCCUGUAAAAAUCUGAUUUAGCAGCACUUCCCAAGCCGUGCGCAGCGGCCACCAGGAAUCCCCAGGAAACAAUUAUCCCCCUUUUUGAGGGGAUAAAGUGCAAUGGAAGUAGGACUGUUCAGUGGAGAAUUCCAUGUGGCAGCAGAAUGGGCAGUAUGGAGAUUUCUGAGAUGGUUUGGACAUCACUUUCAUGAAGUAGAAGAAAUAUUAUACUAAAAUAUUUCAUCAAAACUGAGACAUCAUAUGGAUUAUAUAUUGGAAAAUCCAGAAAACAACUACUGAGUUUUUUUCCCAGAGCAGAGAUCUUGUGUUAGAGGAGACAGUGUUAAAAUAACCAAGCCCCAGAAGGGACUAAAAGGAAAAACCUGAGAUUAGAGCAGAGAGAAAUUAUCAGAAUCUGUAAAAGUGAUUUGAUGAAGCCUUGUUUGUGUUCAAAAUCUGUGCUUGUUUUGAAAUGCAAAGAACUACUGUUAGUUACAUUAUUUGCUCAAAGGAACUUUAUAGCCAGGAAACACCCAACACUUGUAUCCCACUUUUAAAAAAACACUUUAUACCAUUCUGAAAUCCCCAAAGACAGUGAAAACCCUUGGAUUUGUGAUGCUUGGGAUUAUUGGAAUUAAUACAAGUAGUUGGGCUUUCCCCGGGAUGUUAUUCUGGAAUAUUUGAAUAAUAGAACUUCUGGCCCAGGUGUUUGGGGUGUGUGUGUUAUAUGGGCACAUAUAACUCACAGGAGCACUGCAAGGUGGACUUGUGAUGUCACUGUGAUUCCUGGACAUCCUUUGGCACCAAAGGGACUUCAGAAGGGCUGGAAUUUCAUCCCAGGCCAGGAGCAGCUGAUGGAGGUGAGGUGGAGCAGCUUCAAGUCAGUGAUGUAGAACUGAAAAAAUUCUUUGUCAUAUAACUGAUCUCAUCAGUAGCCCAGGGCACCCAAAUGUCACUUUGGAUUUUCUCCUGAGUUUCCAUUUACAUCAUUAAUAUAUAGAUAAUAUGUCAAGGUAUUAUCCUCAAAAAAAGGAAAGAAAUAAUUUCUUUAUGAUAUGGGCAAUUUGUAGAAGACGUCCGUGUAAUUUUGCAUUCUAAAUGUGAUUCAUAUUUAUAAAUAAAUUUGCAUCAAACCUCCA